rfam:Beta vulgaris subsp. vulgaris chromosome 6, whole genome shotgun sequence.
AAACCAUGAUGAGGACAAAGACGCUACAGAUCCUUGAACCUCUCCCAAGCUUCAUACAAGGACUCACCAACAUCCUGGGUCAAAGUUAAUAUGGUAU